rnacentral:rRNA from 1 species
GUCUACGGCCAUACCACCCUGAACGCGCCCGAUCUCGUCUGAUCUCGGAAGCUAAGCAGGGUCGGGCCUGGUUAGUACUUGGAUGGGAGAAAUAUGGAGGUCAACACCUAAAGAACAGGUGAACAAAGACU